CGUACCUUUCUUGCAUUUAUUUCAUUAUUCUGUUAUUAGUAUUCGACUGCUUAUAUAUUUGUGGGAUUCGCCUCGAGCACCGAGGUACCAGAGACCGGGGCGACCCGGUCGCUGGCUGUAGGGAUUAUUGACCAGAGGAUUUUUGGUGACUCGGUCAACACAGAAGAUAGCUCACCUCCGGGUCAUGAAGACGUGGUCAACAUUCCAACCACGUCACGCUGAUAGAUCUAUUUUCUCAGCUUCUCAAUAGGACAUGAUCAUUGAACUUCAAUUUCUGGGUGGAAAGUCAAUUAGCCCAUGAUUGUCGAAUGGCUUAUUAAUUCCAUUGCUUGACUAGUUGAUUCUUUUUUCUAUUGUCAUACUCUACUCUAGUCUACUAGCUAAUAAUUAGACAAUUCCCCUUAGCUUGGCUUGCAAACCAUUCUAAACCUAUUGAAAAAUUUGAGACUUGAGCUAGUUGUCAAAUAUGAUCUAGGAAUUUAUCCUAUUCAAUAAUUACCUUUAGUUGAGGAAUUUUUUUCUCUAAUUUAGAGGUGGCCAUGAUAGAGGACUUGACUGAGCUUUUUCCUUGGCGCACACGUGGACAUGGCUUGGCCAGAGCUAACGAAACAAAGAAAAGAUGGUUGGAACAAUAAAUGAAAAAUAAAAUAAAAUAAAACUGCCGCCACUGAGAUAUUAAUACUAUAGUUCCUUGUAGAAGAAGAAACCAGAGCCAUAAUGAGUGAGGUGAUUUUUCUGAUAUUACGUAGGAUUAGAUAUACUGAAUGUAAGAGAUUCAUUUAAAUAAAUGCAAGAUGUAAAAUGAUUUAUUAUAGCGAGGCUAACCAAGCAAAGACAAGUGGCAAAAGGACGUUAGAAGGUUCUGGCUCCCAUAAAAAGGGAGAUCUUUUCUAGAGACUUUUAACCUCUGUUAUAAUAGAAUAUAAAAAAUUUCUCUACUACAAGUUUUGUUAUGUUUACUUUAUUAAAUAUUUAAAAGGGAUGAAAAAUAAAUUUCAUGAGUGGAUAAUUUUGUAGAGAAAAAUUUAUCCCAUACGAAUCGGACGGGAAGUAAGGAAAGAAAAUUAUAUAAUCUCUGGGUUUUUUUCCUCUUUCACAUCCGCCACUCCUCUACUCCCCACCGACUCCUCUCAUGUGAUUGAUCCACUGCCCGCGUUCUUUAGCAACUGAAUGAUGAAAUUUUGCUUGAUAUAUAUGAAGAAAUGUUUUUGGUAUCCAAUUCACAAACAGCACAGAGUGAAAGAUUUACAAGAACAGAAAGUUAUGGCGACCCCCAAAUGUGUUAUCAAUCCAAAGGAAAGUGGAGAGGAGGCGGGCCAGAGAACUGAUCCAUUUAGGUGGAUGAUUGAUGGUUUCUCAACAAUUGCAAAUCGAGGUGCUGAUAUGUAUUACUCAAGGAGUUUCACAGCCUGUGAUUUAAAAUGAUUCAAAAAUCUCAGAGAUCAAAGCAAUCUACAAGCUCUUCAUAUUUGAUCAACUACAUGCGGAGCACAUACAAAAGGAAGGUGACAAAACAUUUGAAGUUCCAGAAUAAUUGAUCAUAAUACAGGAAGUUGCUCUUACCGGGACUUGUUGGUGUAGUUAAUUAUCAUGUUAUUAUCUUCAUUUGUUUUUUUUAAUGUAGGCGAAGACUAUUUCCAUAGCAAAUCCCAUGGAUUUUGUUGUAAGGUUGCAUUGAACAAGUUCAACAGUCCAAAAUCUGGUCUACUUGUCAAUGAUCGUUGCGUCUUUGGAGCUCAAAUCUUGGAGGCUUUUGCAUGCAAAUCAGACAAAGAAGGAAUCCAUGAAUCCUUGUCCCUUAAAAAGACCUAACUCCUCGAAUAUAUACUUGGGUGAUCAAGGAUGUUUCCAAAUCUAAGGAGACACUAGUUUCUGGAGCUUUUGCUGCAGGCGGCUACAACUGGUGUAUCUGGCUCUUUCCAAACUUAGACACAUACAAAGACUCCCUUGGUGUUUUCUUGAGGAUGGACAAUAAUGCUGCUAGUCUUUCUUCCAAGACAAGUGUCUAUGUGGAUUUUAGCCUUUGCUUGUUGGAUCUACACAAUGCCAACCAUCAAUGGCGGAGCCAGGAAUUAUAAACU